GGAGGUUCUUUACCUUGUGGUGAACAACCAAGGGAAAGAGAUCACAGAAAGGGGCCAGGGCAAGGCAGAUCUCCCAAGAAAACUCCCUCAGUGCUGAACAAAAGGACCAGACACCAAUGAAGACAAGACAAGUAGCCCAGAUACUAUUUCUUCUAUAACUGAAGAAGGAACACAGUAAUUGAAGUCACCCAAAUUCAGUCCAUUGUUAUGACCAAUUUAAUUUACUGAGCACCAGUGGAGAGCAGGCUGUGGUUGACCAGAGCAGAGAUGAGUCAGCCCUGCCAUCUAGAGUCAUACAAUCUAGGAGAAAUCAAUUAG